rnacentral:lncRNA from 1 species
CAUCUGCUAGAUUUUUAUUAAAGUAACAAAAAAAGGUGUACAUUUGUCCAUAAACCUGUACAUUCUUCCAUAUAAAACACUAUUAUACAAUUAGUAACCUUUGUCUUUUCUAUCAGAAUAGCUUACAAACUACUAUUAUUUAUUUUUACUUAAUAGGAGAGACAGGCCUGCUCAACAGUCCAGCUCUGGGUGUUUUGUUGAUUUUAAAGUGAACAUCAAAAAGAAGAGAGAAAAGAUUAAGCAUGAGACUAUGAGGCUGCUUAUAAUCUGCAGUGAUUCACAGCUUUGUUUCAACCCACAGGCCAGAAAAUUAGCUCUUGGGUCUGUGGGCCCAAAGUUACCUUUAAAGCAAUAAAGACUGGAAACAGGGGCUGGGAUGGUAGCUGGGGAUCUGGAACGUUGAAGAGGCAGAACUGGCAGGAAUGGGUAGGGAAAGUGUUUGGUAAAUAGCACCUUUGAAUCAGAACUGAGUAGUUAAGAAAUCCAGGAAAGGGGACUGGCAGUGGGGAGGAAGUUUUCUCCACAAGGGGCAAUGGCAGGAGGGUAGCCAGGUUGACCAGAUGUUCUAGCUCCAUCCUUCUUGAGAUGGUCUUGGGUUUGCGAUACUCAAGGCCUUCUGAGGACCCCUCACUAAUACCACUGAAAACCUGAAGGAAGAGGAUUUCUUCCCAGUGUAGUUUUGCAUUUUUCUGCAACCCAAAACAGUAAAUAUUGCACAAGUCUACAGACAAAUUUGGAUUGUACUGAGAGACGGCAACAUCUCCCACAGGUGCUCUGAGCACGGGGAAGAAAAAAACAAUGCCCAAGGUUUGGCUUUUAGUGUCAGCCCUACAAAAAUACCAAGUAGUCCUGCAGAACUUGGGGCAUUCUCCCAUUCGGCCAAGGAAUACUGCAAGGCUGAGGAUCCAGCCAUAGUCCCAAGGACAGAGGGAGAGAUGGUUCCCUAAGCCUGCCAAGGCACCAGAAGGUUGUAAGAGCCAGUUCUCCUCCAGACCCUCCUGGGACCCAAGAGGCCAUAUUGCACAGUGACUGAGAACUUUUGUCCUAGAAAACAGGGUAACUGCAUGACCCAACCAGGAGGGGAGAGGAGCAGGGAGAGUUAGAGAGGAGUGUUGUGCUUUUAAAAAGAAGGCAGUAAUCAAGGAUGUGGAGUUCCCUGUAACUUUUGAGCCACCUCUCCAAGGGAUAAUGGUAGCAUCGCCAGGACUUUCACGUAGUUCCAAAAAAAAAAAAAAAAAAAAAAAUUACCACAUGUACACAUAGAGCAGCACAUAGCAAGGCAAAGAUUUCGUGCAGAGUACCCUUCUGUCCCAACUCCAAUAACCUGCAACCCCUGCCUCACUCCCCUGAACCCCCAAACAAAAAGCUUUAUAUUCUUGGUGGGUAGCAACAUCCAUAGGCCCCUGAGAAUAGAAUUAGAAAUAAGUCAUGAUUUUAAGAAAAACUGUUCAGGACAGAAGGAAUCAAGAGAGGCUUUUUCACUCUCUGCCUAGGAUCUCAUUAGAAAAAUAAAAGAGAAAGAUUAGGCAAUAUAGCAUAAUUUAAGUCCAGGUUUGAAUGCCCCUGAGUAAGAGAGGGGCUGGGGAUGCAGGUGUCCUGGUUAGAAGAGGGAGAGGUUAGAACUCAGCCUCUCUUCUCCAUCCAGGACAGAUCCUGACCUCUCUCAUUCACAGUUGCUAACCUUGCUUGCUCCUUCUCACAACUUCCUGGGGUGCUAGCCAAGCCUCUCCCCCAUCACCUUGACCAGACCCGCCCCCUGAACUUUCCCCCCUCCCAUAGGCAGACACUGGCUCCCAGACUCAAGCGCACAACGAUUCUCUCCAAAGGCACCUGGGGAGGCCACUUCCAAGCAGCUCCCUUUAAGGAUUUUUUUCUUAAAAAAAAUCUUUUGGUUUUUUUUUUUCUCCUCUUUUCUUAAAAAAAAAAAUAAUAUAUAUAUAAAUAGCUCUUCAUUUAAAAUACAGUUCCCCAGGUUGAGGUAUGCAAUGGCCUGUUGUCACGGCAGGCAGAAUGAGUACAGUAGAGUGCCAGGUGGGGGCCACAGGGGAUCUAACUGGAGACCGCCAUGACGUAGUUCUUCGAGGGGCUGCUCCUGCCCAGCAUCAUUUGGUUCUUGCAGGUGAGGAGCCCAUAGGAGGUGGCCACCGGGGCCUCCUCGUACAGGAC